CCAGACUCCUACGGGAGGCAGCAGUGAGGAAUAUUGGCCAAUGGCCGAGAGGCUGAACCAGCCAAGUCGCGUGAGGGAAUAAGGCCCUACGGGUCGUAAACCUCUUUUGCCGGGGAGCAAGGGCGGGGACGUGUCCCGGCCCGGAGAGUACCCGGAGAAAAAGCAUCGGCUAACUCCGUGCCAGCAGCCGCGGUAAUACGGAGGAUGCGAGCGUUAUCCGGAUUUAUUGGGUUUAAAGGGUGCGUAGGCGGGCUUUUAAGUCAGCGGUAAAAAUUCGGGGCUCAACCCCGUCCGGCCGUUGAAACUGGGGGCCUUGAGUGGGCGAGAAGAAGGCGGAAUGCGUGGUGUAGCGGUGAAAUGCAUAGAUAUCACGCAGAACUCCGAUUGCGAAGGCAGCAUACCGGCGCCCUACUGACGCUGAGGCACGAAAGCGUGGGUAUCGAACAGGAUUAGAUACCCCAGUAAC
rnacentral:rRNA from 1 species